rnacentral:miRNA from 1 species
ACUUCUUCAUUCUCCCAGGUGUUUCGAUUAGCCAAUGUCACUACUGUCAUGUAAAUGAAAAGCUCAUGACAGUGGUACAUUGUCUACUUGAACAUGGGGUUGUCUGUGUAUGUC